rnacentral:rRNA from 1 species
CCUACGGGAGGCUGCAGUGGGGAAUAUUGGACAAUGGGGGAAACCCUUAUCCAGCGACGCCGCGUGAGGGAAGAAGGUUUUCGGUUUGUAAACUUCUGUCAGCGGGGACGAUAAUGACGGUACCUACGUAGGAAGCCACGGCUAACUACGUGCCAGCAGCCGCGGUCAUACGUAGGUGGCAAGCGUUGUCCGGAAUUACUGGGUGUAAAGGAAGCGUAGGCGGGAUGUAAAGUCAGGAGUGAAAAUAAUGGGCUCAACUCAUAGCCUGCAUUUGAAACUGGUAGGCUGGAGUGCAGGAGAGGUAAGUGGAAUUCCUAGUGUAGCGGUGAAAUGCGUAGAUAUUAGGAGGAACACCAGUGGCGAAGGCGACUUACUGGACUGUAACUGACGCGGAGGCUCGAAAGCGUGGGGAGCAAACAGGAUUAGAUACCCGGGUAGUC